UGGUAGUGAUGUACUUCUACCUUCGCCUUCUUUGGGCGCUUGAUUGAUUUCUGUUUCACCAGUUUCUUCACCAUCUUCUUUCUAAUCGGUUGCUCACAUGAUUCUUUUUGUAAGCUUGACUUGUUGCGUCUUCGCCUAGUCACAAGAAUCCAGCCUUUAUCACCAUCUAUAUCAACUUGAGAUUUGUCUAGUUCCAAUGACUCUUCUUCAUGCUUUU
rnacentral:lncRNA from 1 species